rnacentral:lncRNA from 10 species
GCACCCCUCCAGCUUCUAUAUAUAGCACUCUGUGGCGACAGCUGGCUAUCUGAUGACUCAUCAGUCACCGUGGGCGUCUCCGGAUGGAACCCUGAACAUUUAUUCAGAGGGUGCUUUUGCCAGUUUCUGAACGACUCCUAAUGGCAUUUGAGGGGGAGAGGAUAAGCCAAGGGAAGAGGAAAAUCAAAAUGCUUUCAGCAGCACGGCUUCCGCAUGCUGGAGAGGUGGUGUAUGGGGUUGCGGCUUGGCCUGUUUUCUGAAACCUGCAAGGUAGCACCCUGAAGGUAGCUUGUAACCCUCCACUCUCACACCAAGGUAAUACCUCCUUCCUGUCUGGCCACCUGUCACAGCCAGUGGAAGUAGGGUUUGGAGGGAUGGUUGGGACAUCCUUACACAAUGUUAGGUGGAGACUUAGUGAUGGCUUCGGGGGAAGGCAGAGGGAGUCUCUCUUGCGUCAGGGGGGUGGAAGCACCGCUGCCAUGAUCAAGCCCUUUGGAUGAAAGGAGGGCUGUGAGAUUUGCUGCCCAGAUGUGGGUUUGCAAAUGACCUUGUUGGUCUGUUACCCUGGCCUAGCUCAUAGAAGCUUUCUUCUCCUGUGGCUUGGGAGAGAGCCACCGUAAAAGACAAGCUGUGGCUAGUAAGCAUCUUCUAUGUGCUCUGGACUGUCUCAUGCAAGAGCUAGGGCAUAGGAUCCUCAUGAUGGCCCUUCAAGAGGGGUUAAUCUUGUCGUUGUUGCACUUCUAUGAGGAAACAGACCAUGUGAGGCUAAGUAACUUGCUCAAGGUCACACAGGGGUGAUUGAUGGGGUCACCCAGACUGUCUGACUCUUGUGUGGGUAUGGCUGCCCUCCUUGUCAGCCGGCGGGGUAUAGAGGCUGGCCCUCCAUUCUUGAUUUGCUCAGUAAUGGGGGCAGGACAACUCCACCUCCUUCUUCCCAAAGGAAAGUUGAGCUCAUUUUGGAAAGAAAGCAAACAGCCGUUCUCCUCUGGGGCUCUAUCCGGGGACAGGGCAGAAAGGAAAUCCAGUACACUGCGGAAGGAGUCAUUUUUUGGCCUGGUUCUCACCACCCAUCUCUAGUUCAAACCCUGCUUUUAGCAUAUCUGUGUUGAUGGGGCAGGGCCUGGGAAUCACGAUUUGCCUUUAAGAAGUGGAUGCACUUGGAGAGGCUGGCGCUUCCACCAACCAGGAAGAGCUGGGGGCACCCUGCUUGCUCUCCGAAACUUCACAGAAAGCCCCAAGAGCUGGGGAUGUGGGUUCUGUUCUGGAUCUCCAAGAGACGACGUCAUGCUAGAAUGUUCCCUUCAUUUUUGAAAACUGCACUCCUGCCUGGGGCCAUCUCGUGUCUUCAAUGGCUAAAGUAGAUGCUGAUUUGGGCAACCAGCUUUCUUUUCUGUUUUGAAAAUUAAUGCACCUGUGUAGUCACCCAGGCUUGAUAGUUGCAACAAUAACUCAUGGACAAGUUGUGUGACUGGUGGUAGUGACUCCAUUUGCUCACACCUCCUUGGAUUCAGUCCCUGGUGUAGUUCCCUCCCACACUGACUGUGGGUUUGGCCAGGUGACUUGCUUUGGCCAAUGGGACACCAUCAACCAUGAUUAGCAGAGGUUUGAAAAGUGCUUGUGCAUUGAGAUUUGCCCUCUCACGCUGUUCUUGGGACCCUUACAACUGCCAACAUGUGAAUGUGCCUGGGUUAGGCAGGUGGAGGUAUGUGGCCCAGUCACCACUGCCACCCAGCUGACAACCAGCACCAACCACCAGACACACUGCAUGAGGCCAUCCUAGACCAUUCGGUUCCCAGGUGACCUGCCAGCUGGUCACAGGUGAGUCCAGCAGAAGAACUGCCCAACCCAGCCCAGCCCAAAUUGCAGAUCUGCAGAAUCAUGGGCUGAUAAAUGAUUGCUCUUUUAAGCCACUAAGUUUUGGGGUGUUUUUUUAUUGUGAUAAAAUAUGCAUAACAUAGCAUUUACCAUUUUAACCAUUUUUAAACGUACAGUUGAGUGGCAUUCAGUACAUUCACAUUGUGCUACCAUCACCACCAGCCAUCUGCAGAAGUUUUUCAUCAUUUGCCGGGGUUCUUUAUAUAUCUAAGCUCACUCACUGAUUCACAAGCUGCGGGGGCUGCCUGCACCUCCCUGACUGUCUUGCAGCUGAUGAGCUUGUCUCUGAGUGGAGGCUCAGGCUCAGGCACCGAGCUCUGGAGUGAGGCCCAGUUCCAAACUGAAAGAGAACAAUGUCCACGGGUCUCGGCUGUAGCCACAGUUUAACACAACCCUGGCUUCCCUCAGGCAUGCUCACAAACGAUCCUGUUCCUGUGGGUGCAGGGAAGACAGACAAGCAGGGUCUCCACAAGGGAGGCUGCAGACCACAGGCAGACCCGGUGACAGGGGACAUGCUGGGACUUGCUGUUUAAAGAGCCACCACCAGGAACUUGGCACCUGACCUUGUGCUCAGGGGUGAGCUGUGACAGCUGCCACACCAGCCCUGCUGUCCUUGCCACUUCUAGCUGUGUGACUUGGGGUGAGUCACUUAAGCUUUCUGAGUCUGUUUUUUUCCCCCAUCUGCUAACUGAAUGUAAUCGUAGUGCCAUGUUUUAGGGCAAGGAUUAGAGGAGCCAGUGUUGGACACACUAACAGUUGCUUCAUUAAUUAAUAUAUGGGGCUGGCCAGGAUCCCUAUUCCCCCUGGCCCCAGACCCCUACCAUCUUUCCUCAUCCUUACUGGGAAGGGGCCUUUAGAAAGAAAAGAGACAAGGUCGGGCACGGUGGCUCAUGCCUGUAAUCCCAGCACUUUGGGAGAUCACCUGAGGUCAGCAGUUGGAGACCAACCUGGCCAACAUGGUGAAACCCUGUCUCUACUAAAAAUACAAAAAUUAGCUGGUCAUGGUGGCACUCGCCUGUAAUCCCAGCUACUGGGGAGGCUGAGGCAGGAGAAUUGCUUGAACCCAGGAGGUGGAGGUUGCAGUGAGCCAAGAUUGUGCCACUGCAUUCCAGCCUAGGGGACAGAGCAAGACUCUGUAAAAAAAAAAAAAAAAAAAAAAGAAAAGAAAAGAGAAAGACUUUGUUAGCAUCAGAAAUUAUGCUUUGAGAGGGAUCUUCAGUAUUAGCUGGAGAAACACUCAUUUGUCUUUUAGAUACUCACUUCUUGAUAUUCAUGUUAGGACCCUGGGCUAGGCUGACAGUGUAUAUAAAUAAAUACGGGGGCUCUGGGAGAGGAGGGAGAGAGCAAGGGCAUUUGGGGAUGCUGUGGCAGACUGUUGUGUUUAUUUUCUUCAUCUUCUUAUGUAAUAGAACCCCUGAUUUUUAGUUGGGCAUACACUCAUCUGGAAUAAAGACAAUGUUUCCCA